rnacentral:rRNA from 1 species
AGACUUUGAUUAUGGCUCAGAUUGAACGCUGGCGGCAGGCCUAACACAUGCAAGUCGAGCGGUAGCACAGAGAAGCUUGCUUCUUGGGUGACGAGCGGCGGACGGGUGAGUAACGCGUGGGAAUCUACCUGGUAGUGGGGGACAACAGUCGGAAACGACUGCUAAUACCGCAUACGCCCUUCGGGGGAAAGUGGGGGAUCUUCGGACCUCACGCUAUCAGAUGAGCCCGCGUCGGAUUAGCUUGUUGGUGAGGUAAAGGCUCACCAAGGCGAUGAUCCGUAGCUGGUCUGAGAGGAUGACCAGCCACACUGGGACUGAGACACGGCCCAGACUCCUACGGGAGGCAGCAGUGGGGAAUAUUGGACAAUGGGGGCAACCCUGAUCCAGCCAUGCCGCGUGUGUGAAGAAGGCCUUCGGGUUGUAAAGCACUUUCAGCUGUGAGGAAAGGCCGAGUGGUUAAUACCCGCUUGCUGUGACGUUAACAGCCAGAAGAAGGACCGGCUUAACUUCCGUGGCCAGCCAGCCGCCGGUAAUACCGGGAGGGGUCCGAGCCGUUAAAUCCGGAAAUUACUUGGGGCGUUAAAAGCGCCGCGUUAGGUUGG